AAUGUCACACGUCGUGGGAUGGAUGGAGUAGAAAAAAAAGUGUUCCAGAGAUUACAAGCCAGCCACAUCCCAGAUUUAUUCUGGUUAGAUAAUGAGAGCGGUUCCAGCGGCGGCGACGGGCUCGACUGUGUGAUGGUCAACGCCUCAACGGGGCAGCCGGGACGCCGUGGUGAGCGGCGGCUGGCCUCGGUCGCUGUGGUGGAUGGUCGGAAGCAUAGUUUGCGGAGGCGGCGCUAUUGUGGCAGUGGCGGUCAUCUAGGAUCCUCCAUGGCUGGCUCGACUCCCGUGACUUCCUCUCCCUCGGCUCGUACGGUUCCCGUUCCUUCCAUCCCCCAACUCUCUUUUUUCCAUUGUCUUUGAUUCCUCCCUGUGAAUGCCCAUUGUGGAGGAGGCCACCACGCCAUGAGCACAAGGACUGACAUCGGAUUGAUUCGGGGGCGGGAGAAACUGCUGCAUUGGCCUCGCGGUUCGGCCGUGUACGGUCUGGCGGCAGACGACAUCGUCGUAGCGGUAUAACGCCGGGCGGCCGGGGGACCAUUUGGAGCUGAAGCGGUGGGUAAGAGGAGUGCCAGAUUGGAUAGGAUACAUGGCCUUCAUUCUUUCAACAUGGAUUUGUUAGUGAUCGUAACUUUCCCAAUUUUCUGAUGUUGAUUUCCGAGAUCUGGAGAGUUGGAUCUAAACUAAAGAAUUAUUUACCUGGCCCAACAAAUUCCCCGCUGCAGGGUGUAGCUCUGUUACAGACUACCAGCUCAUACCUUACAUACAAGUACGGCAGGUAUAUAGCAUGUAAUUAGCCAAUACAUCUGGGUGGGCAAGCUCACUACACAGUUGAACUUGUAGCAACCUUGAUAUGUAUUAGUAGCACUAUUUGUGCUGAUACACCAACUUUCCUUUGUUGAAGGGAGAAACUCGGUGAGCACCGCGCAUCCGUGCCGGGACUCGAACUCGGGUGGUCUGGCAGCAACCUCAGCUACCCAGCCAAUGGGUCGACGCCCAGUCCUCAUGUGCACUUGAAAGGAAUGGAUGCAUAUAUGCUGCCGUAAUAGUUUACAAGGUAUGAAUCAUCGGUUAAUCCAUCUCGGUGUUCUCUUAACAAAGGAUUGCAUGCUAUUGAGCUUGGCUCAACUACUGAUGGCACAUAUAUUCCUUUCUUUUUUCCCAAUGGUGGUUGAUUUGCUCUUCCAUGAAGGCCUGUGAUUUGCUAAUUGUCUAUUAGCCAGUUAGAGAAGUAGUGGCAAUCAAUGUAUAUUUCAAAUCUUGUAUCUUAUCUGGAUAGCUUCAGACAUACUUAGCUCUCUUGUAUUUCAAGCAAAUGAAUGUUGCUAGUCAAAAGAAGUGAUGGACUAGGUACUAAGUACGUCUUACCUGAUUUUACUAUAUUGCGAGGUACAUAGCAUAUUUUGUUUGUGCCUGGUCGAUUGCUUGCUUCUCUACACGCAUCUGCUUGUACUGGCAGUGAUUUUUUUCAGGCACAUUCUUGCAGCAGGCUGGCUGGUUUGAUUUGGUGUUGUGUGCUUGAUUUCUCCAUUUGCUGGUCAGGAUUGGACAAGGUGUAAAUACCCGUUACCUCUAGAAAGAUCCAAGGGUUGUUGGUAUACUUUUUUUAGGUCAUAUAGUUGGUUGUUUUAUCCUUUUGAAUGAUUACAGGUUAAGAAACAUACUAGCAUCCCCUGCAAAAAAGAAAAGAAAAAGAAUACUAGCAUAGAAGGCAGAAGUCGGACAUGCCUCAGUUCUGAAGAUUAUGAAGCUCCAGAUAGAAGUAUUGUGAGCAAACAAUGAAGUCAUGUACAUCAAACUGCAACUUUGAAAGAUAGUUACCGUGGAUGCUUCAGAGCACAUGUGGACUCCAAAAUCUAUGGUGUCAAUGUUGUGAAGAUAUUGGAAUGUUUCAUGUUUGGGACUUUCAGAACUUAUGAUAUGCCGGUGUGGCAAAUUUCCAGAGAUAUUUAGGAAACCUAGUUAUUUGAUUCUGCUGUUACAAAAUAACCUUGAGAGAAUCCCCAUAGUUUGCAAAUAUUCGUGGAGUUCUCACUGCAACAAAGAGAGGACCUACACCUGCAAUGCCCGCGUGACAGCUAAGUGGCUGUGAGUUACAGCACAUGCUAUAUAUUAGGCUGAAUCGAGUUCGUCGA